CAGCAGCCGCGGUAAUACGUAGGGUGCGAGCGUUAAUCGGAAUUACUGGGCGUAAAGCGUGCGCAGGCGGUUCGUUAAGACAGAUGUGAAAUCCCCGGGCUUAACCUGGGAACUGCAUUUGUGACUGGCGAGCUAGAGUAUGGCAGAGGGGGGUAGAAUUCCACGUGUAGCAGUGAAAUGCGUAGAGAUGUGGAGGAAUACCGGUGGCGAAGGCAGCCCCCUGGGCCAAUACUGACGCUCAUGCACGAAAGCGUGGGGAGCAAACAGGAUUAGAUACCCCUGUAGUCCCUGUCUCUUAUAC
rnacentral:rRNA from 1 species